rnacentral:rRNA from 1 species
AGAGUUUGAUCCUGGCUCAGGAUGAACGCUGGCGGCGUGCUUAACACAUGCAAGUCGAACGAACCUUCGGGUUAGUGGCGGACGGGUGAGUAACGCGUGGGAAUCUGCCCUCAGGAGGGGGAUAACGGCUGGAAACGGCCGCUAAUACCCCAUAUGCCGAGAUGUGAAAAGAAAUUCGCCUGAGGAUGAGCCCGCGUCUGAUUAGCUAGUUGGUGGGGUAAGAGCUCACCAAGGCGACGAUCAGUAGCUGGUCUGAGAGGAUGAUCAGCCACACUGGGACUGAGACACGGCCCAGACUCCUACGGGAGGCAGCAGUGGGGAAUUUUCCGCAAUGGGCGAAAGCCUGACGGAGCAACGCCGCGUGAGGGAUGAAGGCCUCUGGGCUGUAAACCUCUUUUCUCAAGGAAGAAGACAUGACGGUACUUGAGGAAUAAGCCACGGCUAAUUCCGUGCCAGCAGCCGCGGUAAUACGGGAGUGGCAAGCGUUAUCCGGAAUUAUUGGGCGUAAAGCGUCCGCAGGCGGCCCUGUAAGUCUGUCGUUAAAGCGUGGAGCUUAACUCCAUUUAAGCGAUGGAAACUACAGGGCUUGAGUGUGGUAGGGGCAGAGGGAAUUCCCGGUGUAGCGGUGAAAUGCGUAGAUAUCGGGAAGAACACCAGUGGCGAAGGCGCUCUGCUGGGCCAUAACUGACGCUCAUGGACGAAAGCCAGGGGAGCGAAAGGGAUUAGAUACCCCUGUAGUCCUGGCCGUAAACGAUGAACACUAGGUGUCGGGGGAAUCGACCCCCUCGGUGUCGUAGCCAACGCGUUAAGUGUUCCGCCUGGGAGUACGCACGCAAGUGUGAAACUCAAAGGAAUUGACGGGGGCCCGCACAAGCGGUGGAGUAUGUGGUUUAAUUCGAUGCAACGCGAAGAACCUUACCAGGGUUUGACAUCCUGCGAAUCCCUUGGAAACGAGGGAGUGCCUUCGGGAGCGCAGAGACAGGUGGUGCAUGGCUGUCGUCAGCUCGUGUCGUGAGAUGUUGGGUUAAGUCCCGCAACGAGCGCAACCCACGUCUUUAGUUGCCAGCAUUCAGUUGGGCACUCUAGAGAGACCGCCGGUGAUAAACCGGAGGAAGGUGUGGAUGACGUCAAGUCAUCAUGCCCCUUACAUCCUGGGCUACACACGUACUACAAUGCUACGGACAAAGGGCAGCAAGCUCGCGAGAGUUAGCAAAUCCCAUAAACCGUGGCUCAGUUCAGAUCGUAGGCUGCAACUCGCCUACGUGAAGGAGGAAUCGCUAGUGAUCGCAGGUCAGCAUACUGCGGUGAAUACGUUCCCGGGCCUUGUACACACCGCCCGUCACACCAUGGAAGUUGGCCAUGCCCGAAGUCGUUACUCCAACCC